UAAAGGGGCUUUCUGUGUCCUCUAAAUGAGUCGUUGAAUAUCAACAAACCUACUUACAGCUCUGCAAUGUAUUUAGACGAUGAAAUAUCCCGGAAGUAUUUCCGGGGUCUUUGACCUCGUGCAUAAAGAAAACACAUUUGACUGAUUUGACUGAGAUGGAAAUAAUCCUACUCUUGGGAUGACUGAAGAGGCGAAGGAUUUCUCAAGGUUGAGCCUGUAAGGUUUUAGAAGGUCAAACCAUUUAUAACCAAAAGCAUGAUCUUCGUGACGUUUCCUUUACAGUAUCUAUCAGG